UGGAAGAAUUUAGACAGUUAUUAACUCUCAGUGAUGUCCCAGCGUUCCUUAAACCUUGUGACCUGAAGCAGAGUUUGGACCCGGAAACCACUAAUAGAAUCAGACUUAAAGACCGGAUAUGCUCUUAAGUGUCAAAACAGCUGUGGAAGUUUGCACCUGUGAUCAACAGUUCUGUUAAAAUACAUAUUACUUUAAUUUAAAAAAGGAACUUUCUAUUCUGUUCUGCUGUUUCUGUUUUUCAGAAGCGGUGCACUACGCAGUUUACGCUGUUGUCCCUGUGGUUUUACUAAUAUGUGUCCUAGUUAUUAUUUAUAAGUACAAAUGUUACAACGUGAGAGAAACUGAAGCUGUCAUGGACAGAAAUACACCGAAAGCAGAAGACGUGAUAGAUGCAGAAGAAGGCGAAAUUUAUGGAAAUCAAGAAUUUGUGCUGACCUUCAAACAGCAAAGUGCCUUGAACCACUUUGAUGAUCCAGUGGGAGAUGAACCAGAUUACAAAAACUUCACAACUGAAGAACUAUACAGCAAUGAAAAUUACCAUAAAGCUAACAAAAGAUAAAUAUGCACAUGUACUUAAACUGUGGGUCUUAAGUGAAUACAGAUUAUCCUGUUUAAAUCAUCUUUAGCACGAAAUUCACAGCAAUGUACCGCUGUUACUCAACAUUUUCACUGUCUUGUGAUCCAGACUUCUUUAUUAUUGUUUACACAAAAAAUACU